UGCAAGUCGAACGGAGUUAUUUGGGAGCUUGCUUCCGGAUAACUUAGUGGCGGACGGGUGAGUAACGCGUGAGGAACCUGCCUUUCAGAGGGGGAUAACGUCUGGAAACGGACGCUAAUACCGCAUGAUAUUCCGAGGUCACAUGGCCAUGGAAUCAAAGGAGCAAUCCGCUGAAAGAUGGACUCGCGUCCGAUUAGCCAGUUGGCGGGGCAACGGCCCACCAAAGCGACGAUCGGUAGCCGGGCUGAGAGGCUGAACGGCCACAUUGGGACUGAGACACGGCCCAGACUCCUACGGGAGGCAGCAGUGGGGGAUAUUGCGCAAUGGAGGAAACUCUGAUGCAGCAACGCCGCGUGAGGGAAGACGGUUUUCGGAUUGUAAACCUCUGUCCUCAGGGACGAUAAUGACGGUACCUGAGGAGGAAGCUCCGGCUAACUACGUGCCAGCAGCCGCGGUAAUACGUAGGGAGCAAGCGUUGUCCGGAUUUACUGGGUGUAAAGGGUGCGUAGGCGGCCCUGCAAGUCAGGCGUAAAAGGCGGAGGCUUAACCUCCGAGCUGCGUUUGAAACUGUGGGGCUUGAGUGGAGCAGAGGCAGGCGGAAUUCCCGGUGUAGCGGUGAAAUGCGUAGAGAUCGGGAGGAACACCAGUGGCGAAGGCGGCCUGCUGGGCUUUAACUGACGCUGAGGCACGAAAGCAUGGGUAGCAAACAGGAUUAGAUACCCUGGUAGUCCAUGCCGUAAACGAUGAUUACUAGGUGUGGGUGGUCUGACCCCAUCCGUGCCGGAGUUAACACAAUAAGUAAUCCACCUGGGGAGUACGACCGCAAGGUUGAAACUCAAAGGAAUUGACGGGGGCCCGCACGUUUAAUUCGAAGCAACGCGAAGAACCUUACCAGGUCUUGACAUCCAACUAACGAAGCAGAGAUGCAUUAGGUGCCCUUCGGGGAAAGUUGAGACAGGUGGUGCAUGGUUGUCGUCAGCUCGUGUCGUGAGAUGUUGGGUUAAGUCCCGCAACGAGCGCAACCCUUGUGAUUAGUUGCUACGCAAGAGCACUCUAAUCAGACUGCCGUUGACAAAACGGAGGAAGGUGGGGACGACGUCAAAUCAUCAUGCCCCUUAUGACCUGGGCUACACACGUACUACAAUGGCCGUCAACAGAAGGAAGCAAAACCGCGAGGCGGAGCAAACCCCCAAAAACGGUCUCAGUUCGGAUCGCAGGCUGCAACCCGCCUGCGUGAAGCUGGAAUUGCUAGUAAUCGCGGAUCAUCAUGCCGCGGUGAAUACGUUCCCGGGCCUUGUACACACCGCCCGUCACACCAUGGGAGCCGGUAAUACCCGAAGUCGGUAGCCUAACCGCAAGGAAGGCGCCGCCGAA
rnacentral:rRNA from 1 species